ensembl:rRNA 5S_rRNA 5S ribosomal RNA
UCCAAUAGCCAUAUCACCUUGAAUGCAGCUGAUCUCAUCUGAUCUUGGAAGCUAAGCAAAGUUGAGCCUGGUUAGGACUUAGAUGGGAGAUUGCCUGGGAAUACCAGGUGCUGUAGGCU